CGGGUGCCUCCCCUGACGGAUCUCAUUGGGCAGAGCGCAGAGGCAGGUCUACCACUUGGAAAUUCAUGCCACCCUGAAUUAGUCCAUGCCCGGUGCACCAGAGGGUUACAGCCUUCCAGCAGGAAGAGGACUGUGCUGCAUACGCUUUUUAGAAUGGCGACUGAAAUUGCAUGUGCUCUGGAGCAUUGCGGGGGAGGAAGGGUGAGGAAUUAUCUGAUAGGGCAGGAGUAUAAUCAGAGAAGGAAUCAGGGCCUGGGGGUGGGGGGAUUGCAUUCAAAAUAACCUUGGCUGACUGAGGCUCAGAGUGGGAUGAGGCAGGAUGUCUCCAGCCUGGGUUUCUGUGACAGGCAGACAAGGACUCUACUGCAGUUGAAUGACAUGGAGAGAAACUCAAUGUUUCUUUUUCACCACGGGUGGACCUUGUGUUAUAAUUGUGGCUAAAGGAGACGGUAAACCAAGUGACUGGUUAGUUGGAGAGUGUAGAAUCAGUGGGCUUAUAGGAAGCAGAGCCCUGGCAGGAGGUGAGAAAAAUAGAGAGACUCUACCAUCUCUCAUUGGAGCAGAAAAUGGUAGAAUGGAACAUAUUUAUUAUUUGCUGCAUUAAAAUGUAAACUUUUGUUCUUCUCAUUCUUCAGUACAUAACCAAAAACGGAAAUAAACUAAAAAUCAAACACAGAAACAGGUGUUUACCGUGGAAUAAUCGAGAGAUC